AAAAAUAUAGUUUAAUUAAAGCAUUGUUUUGAUAGGACAAAGAUACACAUAUGUGUUGUUUUUA
rnacentral:tRNA from 1 species